rnacentral:rRNA from 1 species
CCAAUAGCGUAUAUUAAAGUUGUUGCAGUUAAAAAGCUCGUAGUUGAAUUUCGGGAUUAAUUUAUCGGUCGUGCUUUUGUACGUACUGGUAUUAUUGAUUCCUACCUUCUGACGAACCAUGAUGUCAUUAAUUUGGUGUCUUGGGGAAUCAGGACUGUUACUUUGAAAAAAUUAGAGUGUUUAAAGCAGGCUCACGCUUGAAUUCAUUAGCAUGGAAUAACGAAAUAGGACGUUUGAUUCUAUUUUGUUGGUUUCUAGGAUCGACGUAAUGAUUAAUAGGGAUAGUUGGGGGCAUUAGUAUUCAAUUGUCAGAGGUGAAAUUCUUGGAUUUAUUGAAGACUAACUACUGCGAAAGCAUUUGCCAAGGAUGUUUUCAUUAAUCAAGAACGAAGGUUAGGGGAUCGAAGACGAUCAGAUACCGUCGUAGUCUUAACCAUAAACUAUGCCGACUAGGGAUCGGAUGAUGUUAAUUUUUUAAUGACUCAUUCGGCGCCUUACG